rnacentral:rRNA from 1 species
UGCAGUGGACGCAUUGGUAACACCGGACUUGCUCCAGUGUUACUAAUGAGUCGCGAACGGGUGAGUAACGCGCUAGGUAACCUGCCUGAUAGCGGGGGAUAACUAUUGGAAACGAUAGCUAAUACCGCAUAAGAGGAGUUAAUUCAUGUUAACUGUUUAAAAGAAGCAACGGCUUCACUAUCAGAUGGACCUGCGUUGUAUUAGCUAGUAGGUAGGGUAACGGCCUACCUAGGCAACGAUACAUAGCCGACCUGAGAGGGUGAACGGCCACACUGGGACUGAGACACGGCCCAGACUCCUACGGGAGGCAGCAGUAGGGAAUCUUCGGCAAUGGACGCAAGUCUGACCGAGCAACGCCGCGUGAGUGAAGACGGUUUUCGGAUCGUAAAGCUCUGUUGUAGGGGAAGAACGUGUGUAAGAGUGGAAAGCUUACACAGUGACGGUACCCAACCAGAAAGGGACGGCUAACUACGUGCCAGCCGCCGCGGUAAUACGUAGGUCCCGAGCGUUGUCCGGAUUUAUUGGGCGUAAAGGGAGCGCAGGCGGUUUAGUAAGUCUGAAGUUAAAGGCAUUGGCUCAACCAAUGUAUGCUUUGGAAACUGUUAGACUUGAGUGCAGAAGGGGAGAGUGGAAUUCCAUGUGUAGCGGUGAAAUGCGUAGAUAUAUGGAGGAACACCGGUGGCGAAAGCGGCUCUCUGGUCUGUCACUGACGCUGAGGSUCGAAAGSGKGGGKAGSGAACAGGAUUARAUACCCUGGUAGUCCACGCCGUAAACGCUGAGUGCUAAGGKGUUAGUCCUUUCCGGGACUUAGUGGCCAAACUAACGCAUUAAGCACUCCGCCUGGGGAGUACGACGCAAAGGUGRAACUCAAAGGAAUUGACGGGGGCCCGCACAAGCGGUGGAGCAUGUGGUAAUUCGAAGCAACGCGAAGAACCUUACCAGGUCUUGACAUCCCGAUGCCCGCUCUAGAGAUAGAGUUUUUCUUCGGAACAUCGGAGACAGGUGGUGCAUGGUUGUCGUCAGCUCGUGUCGUGAGAUGUUGGGUUAAGUCCCGCAACGAGCGCAACCCUUAUUGUUAGUUGCCAUCAUUAAGUUGGGCACUCUAGCGAGACUGCCGGUAAUAAACCGGAGGAAGGUGGGGAUGACGUCAAAUCAUCAUGCCCCUUAUGACCUGGGCUACACACGUGCUACAAUGGUUGGUACAACGAGUCGCAAGCCGGUGAC